GUUUGUAUAGUUUAAAAAAAAACAACUUUUUUUCAAAAAGUAGAAGAUAUUUUUUAUCUACAAAAA
rnacentral:tRNA from 1 species